rnacentral:rRNA from 1 species
GACGAACGCUGGCGGCGUGCCUAAUACAUGCAAGUAGAACGCUGAAGGAGGAGCUUGCUCUUCUGGAUGAGUUGCGAACGGGUGAGUAACGCGUAGGUAACCUGCCUGGUAGCGGGGGAUAACUAUUGGAAACGAUAGCUAAUACCGCAUAAGAGUAGAUGUUGCAUGACAUUUGCUUAAAAGGUGCAAUUGCAUCACUACCAGAUGGACCUGCGUUGUAUUAGCUAGUUGGUGGGGUAACGGCUCACCAAGGCGACGAUACAUAGCCGACCUGAGAGGGUGAUCGGCCACACUGGGACGGGGACACGGCCCAGACUCCUACGGGAGGCAGCAGUAGGGAAUCUUCGGCAAUGGACGGAAGUCUGACCGAGCAACGCCGCGUGAGUGAAGAAGGUUUUCGGAUCGUAAAGCUCUGUUGUAAGAGAAGAACGAGUGUGAGAGUGGAAAGUGCACACUGUGACGGUAGCUGACCAGAAAGGGACGGCUAACUACGUG